rnacentral:lncRNA from 1 species
CUCAGAUUUGUGUUGCACGUCUUGUAGUUUAGUACAUAUAAGUCACAUAUGUUUACUGUAUAGUUUUCUCAGUCUUGCGUUGCACGUCGUAUCUUAUACUUCUCUCAAUGCAAGUUGAGCAAUGCUUUGGAGCUCUUUUGCUAGGUUCACUCCAGUUUAAGAGUUCAGGGUUUGCUUGGAUGUUGUUGAAUAAAAUGCGAAGUUGGAUCCUCAUGGGGUUGGACCUCCUGGCAUGCUUCCUUUCCCCACUUUGUGAUAUCUUAUAACUGAAGGUCCAAAUGAAAUCAGAGCAUGACUCAUACGGUUGUCGUUUCAUGUGUGUUCAAAUUCUGGGCUUUUUUAACUUCGAUUUUCAUUUCAAGAAGUUGUGUUUUAUAGAUAUUUUUAUGACAUUCUCUUUUAAAAUAUGAGGGAGAAAAUAUAAAUAUUUGUGUAUGGUAUAUAUAUAUAUAUCAAAGUUAUUAAGCCUCAACAGAAGUGUCUGCUUACUUGACCUGAUCAGAUCAAUUUGGUCAACAUUGUCCUUACUAAUUAAACUUGGUCAACAUUGUGAAACGCCAUCAAAAAUGUUGGAAUAACCCAAACAUUCAUAGUUUCAUAAAUGUGGACCAUUCCUAUGUUGCCAACAAAUCCACCAGGAGUUCAUCAAAAUGUCUACAGAUGAGAACUCAUUUUUCUUGCAAGCCCCAAAAUAUAUCAAGCAAAACAUGGAUCAUACAAACAAGAAAUACAUGACAGUGAGGAUAUACAUUCAAGGUAGAGGUCAAUAAACAGAAAUGUGAGCAGACGUAAGAAAUGAGGGGUGUAAUCAAAGGCUCUAGAAACCAUGAAUUAACUUAGGAACUCAACGACUGCACCGAAAACAGCUAGUGAGCAAGGCUGCCAACGUCAGACCUCGCUCUCCUUUGAAUCUCUUCUAUUGAUAUCUACAACGGUGAUAAGAAACACUUGUCUAGAAUUGAUGCUUUAAGAACACUUCCUAAGGUCGCAACUUCCACGACAGGUUGGGGAGUGUGUUUCGCGAUCAUAGAGUAUACUCUUACGCACUGAAAUAUUUACACGUUGCCUCUUACGCAAGUCCAGGUGUACAUGGGGAUUGGGUGUUCAGCGAUAAAGCUAAUGUCUCCUCACAUGUGAAUUCUUAUUCCGCGAGAGUGAAAUUCCUGGGAGAACGGAAAAACUUGAGAUGGCUUACAGUCUGCAGUUGCAGUAAUUUUCACGUGCACCAUCCGAUAGGUGUGCACCUUCGGGUGAAUCCCACAGAGAUUAGCUUGAAAUAGAAAAGUUCAUAGUUUCCAUUUAUCAAGACAGUCUCACCAUGCAAGCGGAAUGUUCUUGAUCCGUUUCACGAUGAAACUCGAAUUGCCGCUUGUAGCCAUUUCAAGCUUUUACUAAACUCUCGCUGUUGAGAUAGAGCCCAUCUCGUCGACAAUCUCCCCGAUCAUUUUCUUCAGCAGCAUGCGUUCAAUAUCAAGCCCAACUUCAGCGACUUCGUGGCUAAAAACCACCCAUCGGCCUUCAGGAACAUUCAUGUCAUAAUCUAUCAGAUCAUCCAGCACGUUUCCAGCAAUCUCUCUCCAGUGGCAGAUCAUUCUAUGUACUUCCUUCACAAGGGACUCUCCUGAGAGUGGCAUUUGAAAUUUCGAGUUUGAACACAUGUCAGGGAACAUGGGCAGAUCGACAUAGAAGGAAGAGGUCUUCAUCCAUGGUUCGAGAGCCAUAACCUCAUUCACACAAUCGAAGAGAAGCUUCCGCUCCGACCUUUCACUUAAAUCCUGUCUUGGUGCAUCUGGAGGGGUGAGCCAUUGCUUAAACUCCAUUAGAUCCCGCUUGUUCAGCCUGUCGAACAAGGAUAUGUUCAUGGGAGGAUUUGCCAAGGACAACGGGGUUUCCUCUUCUAUGAGUAGAUUUGCUGCAUCCAAGACCUCUCUGAUGUAGGCUUGCUCCUGUUGCGGUCCUACAUGAGUAAUCGGUGGCUUGAACUCAACACUUGAAAGCUCAACAUUUCGAAAACUAGAAACGUAAAAAGUAUCUUGUUUGAUAUGGUCUGUGUAUAUCGUCUCUGGUAUAGUCACCAUCGAAACUUUUGAGACGAGCAAAUUUUCUUUGGCUUGAUCUGUGAGGUCGUCGUCGCUAGAAGGUGGAGAAGGCGCCUUAUUGCCAAUGUCAAUAAGAUCUUUGUCCGUCUGCUCGGAUUCUGCAUCGUAAGGGACCAUUGAUACAAUUAGCAAGUCGGUGAAAACAAUUCCAUGCAUAACAUGUCGUUCUAACCAGAUUCUCAUGUCAAAAGAAAACUUUCAAAAUGAUUGUAAAUUUAGAGCAUCGCACUACUGUCGCAGUUUUUUAGGAACACAUGAUGUCAAAGGUUGAGUAAGAUAACAGAAAGCCACAUUGCAACGAGGAUUCCGCAACUAACCUGCAGAAAUGGCAUCUGGCAUGGUGGAAACCUCGUCAAGAAAUGGGGAAACAAGGACAGAUACUGGACUAGGUUGCUCGGAUUCUUCAGCAGCAGAAGUGUGACCGUCGUUUGAAUCCGAGAAGCCUUGUGCCAGCUGUUCUUCAAACUUCUUCAAAGCUGGUGGUGUCGUCACAACCUCACUCCACCCAGCAGCUACUGACAUCGUUUGAAUCUGCACAAAUGACAUGAGCUCAUCCUAAGCCAAAAGCGAAUAAAUGGGACCAUAGCAACAUUCGCCUAUCCCAGACGUUUUCACACCAAAAAGUUUAAAUGAAUCACUGCUCAAAAAAUGAGCUAUACAGAACCACAAGGCUUACCUCAACACGCUCAGGUGAGCAGCUAUUAUCACAAAUAUCGCUGUUGCAUAUAUCCAAUUCGACCCCAGCUUCCUUCACAUCUAAGACAAGCUCUCGAAGUUCUGCCGAACAGAAGCUUCUUCGUUGCCCUGUCGGAUCAGUUGUAUUGUCCCCAGAAGCUGCCUCUAACAUAUCCUGCAGGUUGAGACGAUUCCAUGAAGAGAAGUAACUUUUCUCGUACUUCACCAAGGGACUGUUUGGAAAAGUCCCAGGAAUUGAUCUGCAUCCGGUGAUGUAGACUUCUGGACUUGUGGGGCUCGUCUCAGGGGCUAGAUUUUCCAGGGGAGACGAGUCAGACCUUGUAGGUGACUCAUGCACACAGGUCCUUGAAUUUUUUUUUCCAAACAUGCGCUCAAUGGAUCGGCAGUCAAGAGGCGUUGUUUCACCAUGAGACCUGAAUUCCAUGAACUGCUCCUCUACAGCUUGAAUGGUCUUCCUAAGGUCUGGAGAUGCCCCGCCUUCGUCAAUUUCUUCCAGUGGGAGCUCAGGGAAAACAUCAUCAACACACUUGUACCUCCCUUGCACUAAAGAUGCAGCAUUUGGUUUCUCCAAUACUUUGCUUAAUGGCGAUAAUGGCUCCUUCGAUACAAGCUUCACCAAAAACGAAUCUUGGUUAGCCGCACCUUUUACACUUUCCACGUUCACCACAUUCACUUCUACAUUAACCUUCUUGCUGGAUUUUGAAGUCUUAAGCACAUUUUGAGAAUCAGGUUCGUUAGUUGGCACAGGGGUUGUACCAAUCAUACCACUUGGUCUUCUCAACAGAGACCGCAUCAAAGUGCCGUCUUUGCGCUUCAGUGCAAUAGAUUCGCUUUUGUCCUUGCCUACCUUUUUAUCUCCUUGCUUUCUUCUGCUAAAAAACAUGGCGUUGCUGGAUCCAGCACCAGCAACCGUAGACUCCUUUGCAAACGGUAAUUCAACUGACUGAUGCUCUGAGUCCUUUUCAGAGGGAAAUACACGCCUCGCCUGACCUCCAGCCUCUUUCGCCUGCUUUUCACCUCUGCCUCGAAAACGGAUCGGCCGAAAAUGGCGAUUUGUAAUGAGCUUUUCAGUUACAGUCGCAGACGAGCGGAGUAAUCCUUGGCUAAUAGCAGCUUUGCUUUCGGAGUUUUGGUCAUGAGUACAAGGUUGCGGAGAUCCCACUUCAAUAUGGGUACCCACAUAUCCGGGUAGCAUAGGUGGAAUGUUCACAGGAGGAGAAUCUAACACUGCAGAUUUCGAAUAAUGCUCUUGUUUUCCCAGCUUCUUCUUGUGAUGAAUUGCACUCUGAUUUCCCAAGUCAGUUUUAAACCCACGAAUUGAAGCCUCGUGAGUACCUAACACAGCUUGGGGAGGAGGAGGGCUGGCUUCCAUCUUCACCAAAUCCGAACUCCUAGAUCUAUGGGUUUGCAGGGGAGAUCCCGAUCUGGAUGAGGCCACCAAUGUCGUCUGAAAUCGCUUUCGACUGGAUCGAUCUUGUCUACUUGAGGCAGAGCGGGUACUGAAAUUCCAACUCGCAGGAGAACUUGAUUCGUGGCCACUAUGUUCGGCCCGGUCAUCCCCACCACUCCAAGUCGUCCGAACCGAUGGACUUCUGAAAGACCUACUUGAGGAGUUACUGUAGCUGGAAGUGAAGCUCCUCUUGUCCGACCGGAAGCUUCCAUCAAUGUCACAUUGUGCAUCUCGGUGAGCCUCUCUGACAAGUGCGAAUCUGUUCUUGGGGGAAGGGUGCAUGCUCGUCUCCAGGGCUUUCACUGCUGACUCUAGAAGUCUUAUUGUGUUUUUUUCACUGAGCAUUGACGGUGAUAGGAGAGGAGUAGAGCCAGUCUGUGAGUUCGUGUGUUGAGGCGUGAAACUACUUUCUUGCAUUCGAGCUUGAAAGGGCUGCUUCAUGAAGGGCGUAGAGACAUCAUACUGUGUGAAUGAUGCUUUCCUUUCAUUAAGUCGUGCUGAUCUCGCAGCUCUUGAAUCGCCAUUUUGGUGCAAGUGCUCCCUGAAACGGCCAGUAGAUCUCUUCCUUUGAGGUACAACACCUCGUGUGGGUUUCGACUCUCCUAAUCUCUUGGUGAAUCCAGGAAGUUUAUCCUUAAAAGACUGCUUGGAGCAUUGACGGAAUUCUUGACGAAGAAGCUCCUGCAACAGUACAGGUGGAGAAUGUAGUUGCUCAUGUGCCGUCAUGUCAGUCACGUCGUUAUUAAAGUCCGAUGAUACGAAUUUUCCCGAGAAGAAUGUCUUGUCCGGUAAUUCUUCUAGGCCCAUAAGUCUUGCUACCACGCCAGGAACUCGUUUGCUUGUGUCAACUGACUGGUCAGAGCUAGGACUUCGUGUGGAGUUAAAUGUUGGCAGAAUUUGUAAGGUAGCAAUAGACUUUUCUUUCCCCGAGGCUAUCUGCAAACGCAAGGUGGAAACAGUAUCAAAAUUGGCCUCAAAACUCACAUGUGACGUUACAUGCUCACGAUCCCAAGGGAUUAUCACAGGUUCUGUGCAAAGUGUUGACAAUGAUAUAGUUUUGACUGUAUGAAUUGAAUAUCAUCAAUCUCUACGAGGCAUAAGAUGAAGAUCAUUUGCAUGUCUCAUGACAAAUAUCACCUACCGAUGGAGGCUUCAAGGUACGGGCAUAAGUGCGCUCUGAGGUGCUCUGAUCCUCUCUGACAUAUUGUGCGCCUUGGUUUGGCCUUUCUGUUACCAUUAUCAUUUUCAGAAAAACGAUUUCCAGGAUACUCAGUAACAUGAAUGUGCCUCACAUACGAAAGCUUUAACAUAAUAUUUCGUCAAUGAACAUUCAAUUCGUAUACCACAAGGCUUAAAACGCGGAAUUUCACCAAUUAAACACAUUGAUGGGAGGGGGGUGACAAACAAACAUACAGAAACAGAACAGAACAGAAUAAAUCAGAAUAAAAAAAAAGUAAUGAAGCAUUCACCACACAAGAAGCUCUUCAGACCCUUAUUACACACUCGGAAGUGGAUGUGCAUGGCAGCAAGAGUUGCUCCAAAGUUGAAAAAUAUUUCAUAAACGACUGGUCUCUCACAAUCCCUAUAUUACAUUUUGUCGAAUGAAUCGUUGAACUUAUUAUCUAGGAUUUAAAAUGCUAAUGAGAUAUAGAUUUCAGACUUCUCUCCUGCAAGCGCUUGCAUCUGUCGUCUAGUCAGGGAACCAAGAAGGGGAGCGUCGUAAGAAAUAGCAUAGAAAACAAAUGGGGUGAUACCUGCAGUGAUGCGCUUGGUGGAGGAGAAACGCUUGCUAUGUUUCCAGUCAAGCAUGUGAAAGAAUGAGCCCACGCACCCUCCCACUCGUGGAGACUGCGCGCCAGCGUGAUGAAAAGUCGAUGGAGUCCGCCGGUGAGCUUCUGUGAGCUCGUCCAUCACCCUCACGUAUCGCAGGGCAACCACACCUUGCCAGUUAAAUGCCAGAUCAACCGACGGGCUGGGGAGACCAAGCGCCCACCCCAAAACCUCAAAAUCUUCGAAGAGUAAAAGACUAGAAACUGAGCUUGUAAUGGCUGUUGCUGAUCACUCCGUGUUGUCUUCAGGUUCGAAGAUUUGUAGAAACUGAGCGUCUCGAUAAGAAGUUAGAUCGACUUCGAAAGUACAGAGGAAGUUAUUGACGAACAAGCUGGCCGAGGGACAAUCUGAACAAGCUGAUCGAGUAGGAAAGGAGUCAAGAUGAGCGUCGGAGUAAAAAAAAUCACAACUUUCUGGGAAGGCGGGCAAAAUUGCCAAUUCAGCCAUGAUAGGGGCAUUUCAGUAGGUGAAGGAACUUUGAGAUUCCUGCACUGAUACUCCCAAGCCGAAAUUGAAAGUAGUAGAUGAUCUUCGUAGCCAAAGAGGAGAAUUCAGCUCAGUUUGCAGCGUCUCUUCUGAAACCUUACGUUCCUGAGACGACAGUUAUCCAUGGCGACUCAGCAGUAGUCUCAGUGUAUCGACAGCAUCAGACCGUUUGGGAAAACGAAACGGAUGCGCUGGGGAGUAGUAACUGUUCUAGUUGUACAGGAAAUUGGAAUUAUUGUUACUAUUUGCGGAAAGAAUCUGAAUGCUAAAUGGUUAGAGAACGUGAAAUUGAUUUCACGACCAGCGUAGCAUUCAAUUCCGCCAUGAAUAAGAAGACACAUUGCUUCAAUACUACACCGGCUUGCAUCAAUGCUGCCAGUAACUGUCUCUGCAUCUCAAGCAACUUUCACUAGCCUAUUACGAUGAUGAUGAUCCCAUCAUUUCAUCAAGAGGUGAAGAAUGCAAACUAGCUCAGGAAACGGAAGACAAUGUAACUUAGGUCAGAUGAUCCAUGAGACGUUUAAUUGCCAUGCAAUAAAGUAAAAGUGGACGAGGACCGGAAGAGACAACUGCCUCUUCACUCGCUACACCACACGCCCACCCUGCCACCAAGAGCCGUGGGCUACAGAAAACGAGCUGGACAACAACAAGCAGACAAGCUUAACUGCGGCUUGAUGCGCGGAAUUCUGUGUAAAUAUAAAACUGUGAAAAUUAACCUCAGUCUUAAAAAGCUAAACGAAUUACAGAUAUCUAAGCGCUUCAAAGAGAGCUAAGAGAACUCCGAGAUUGGGUAGAGCUAACAGCAAUUAGAGGAGGGGAAGUGAAAAAAAGAUCACAACCAAACUCCCGAUCCAAUGAACGCUUGUCCGAUAACUCAGCCCAUGACCACCACAGAGCUGUCCCUUCGCUUCAAAAACAAAGCGAUGUCUCCAUCACACAGAAAGCAUCGAAAUCAAAACAUCGCUUGGAGGAAAGGCAAGCUCUCAGACGUGAUGUGCUACUGCCAGUCUUUGAGCGAGGCUGAAAGUCGUCUCAGAAUUCCAACAAAAAUGUAUGGCAGCAAGCGAUGCACCAUUACGACCUACUAUCAAGCUGGAAAUUACACAAGUCGCUCACCCUCCUCACCCCUGAUUUUUCACUCGCACAAACAGAACUGAUUCAUUCUCUCAACUCCACACUGACGCAUGUCAUGUCAACUGAGCAACACAUCACAGAAGUGUGAAAUACAACUUUCGACAACGGCCAGGGCCCGCAAUUAACACAGGGAUAACUCAAGAGUCGGAGGAAAUAUAUUUGCAGCUACACAACAUUAAAGGAAACUGACGCUAACUUCUUCAUUGCUCUUUGAUUUGGGGCUGCGGAGUCUAGAGACUUCUUCAAUCUCAAAGGCACUUUGUACAAUGGCAGGGGGCGAGGCGCUCAAGUUUGAACAAAGCGGCGUCACAAUCACGGGCCGACAGCCGGCGGGGGCCAAUAGGAAGGACCCGGCCCGGUUCUAGACUAGGGUCUUCCAAUCUGUCGGGAGUCGUGUCCGAUAGGGGCAGGGCCAGUCAGUGGAUGUUGCUCUCUCCUUCGACGUUCCCCUCCGCCGUUCCCGACCGCCGGCGCACACAGUCAGAGAGGAACGUUGGUUGGGAACGCCGGAGCGAAAACCAAGGCACCGAAGACAAAUUUGCAUCGUUCAAACAGUAGUUGAGGGGGGGAAAUAAACGGGGGGUGGGAGGUGAUUCGUGUGGGGUGCGAGCCCUCACACAGUGAAGGGCAUGUGAGAAUAUCUCAAACCCCCCUCUUCCCUCUUCUUCCCACGCCUCUGUGUGAAUCGGACCCCUCCCUCCAUCCGGUCAUCCGGUCACCCUCUAGGUCACCCACAUACUACUGCUGUUUUGAUCCUGGAGAAGCUGCCCAAGGGGUACAAUGACCCCAUGUUCUGCAAUCCUGCACACAUUCUCUAUUCACAUACUCAGUAAAGGACAGCAUUUGAGCGGAAUUGAGCUGAGUAUAUAUAUAUAUAUAUAUAUAUAUAUAUUUUAGGGUUUAGAAAAACAAAGAGAACGUCAUUGCUCUCCUGAUUUGAACCUCUGAAUUUACUGAUUCUAUUUUAUGUCUUGCUUAUCAUGAAAGCACCCAUAAUGGUAAUGUGUUACAAUUUUCAAAAUGUGUAUAUCUAUAUAUACCUAGAUUAACACUAACAGUGGUAUUCUUGACAUCAAAUUUUCUGAAAUUAAUCUGAAAAAUACCAAUACUAGUUCAUAAGAUAAAGAUAACACUUUUAAGUUCAGAACACAUAAAACUAUAUUCUACAUGUUUAAAAAAACUUCUGAAAGUAAAUGUAUUAUUAUUUGAUCAUUAUGGUAUAAUAGUUUUUUGGAAAUUUCUUUGAAUUAAAUAAUUGUUUGGUAAAAUUUGAAGUAUAGAUGGAUUAUGAACAAAUUUAGUUAUUGCUGAAACCCACAAAAUAAUCUGUAAUAAUAUAGUAUCUCCUAACAAUUGUGAUGGUAAACUGAAGAAAAAAAUAAAUAUAGUUAUUUGUUUGACAUCUUUGAAAUAUAUAUAUAUAUAUAUAUAUAUAUUUAUACACCAGUAAUAAAAAGAAGAAGAUUAGUAUGACUACAUUUUGAAUAUCUUUUGUGCUGCAUAUUUGCAAUUGCAUGUGCUCCUUUUAUAUUAUUUUUUUAUUUUUCAUUGUUUUGAAUAUUUUAUGUAUGAUGUCACUGGGAUGCAUUUGUAUGAUUGUUGAUUAUUUUGUUGACCUUGUGACUCAUUCUUGUGUUGUUUGCUAUUGUAUAUCAAUAACUUGUUUUGAUCCAGUAACACCCAAAGCAAGGGCCUCCUAAUGUUGGUAUUUACAAAUAUAAUGGUACAAAAUAGUAAAAUAUGAAAAACAAACAUCAUCACUAGAGUAUCCCCAAAAUAAAUCUACAUAUUUGGAUAUCAUGUUAAGUAAUGAUAUAACAUAUAUCUUAUUUAAAUCAACUACAAAAUGAUUCACUAUUACUAUUAUCAUUAUUCAUUUUAAAAAGAACAUAUAUAUAUAUAUAUAUAUAUAUAUAUAAUAAUUUCCAUGUCUUGUAAGGCUAAGAUUUCUAGCCACAUAAAUGAUAAUCCAUUCAUGCAAAGAAAACCCCACCCAUAAAAACAAAACUCACACACAUAAGCGUCAUCCAUGAUCCACCCCAAGUGGGACAAUAAACACCCAACUAUAGCCACAAAUCACUGUGCUGCCAGGAGAUUAAAGCUUGCAGUGAAUAAUAAAUCACAUAUAUAUAUAUAUAUAUAUAUACACCUCUAUGUAACAAGAGCGUGCAUGGCAACAUUUAACCUUCUGCAAAAACAUCAAAACCUUUUAAAACAAUAUGCCACAUCAAUCCAGACAGACAGACAGACCAACAGACUGACGAACUAUUGAAUGAACAGAAAGAAAGGAUAGACUAACAAAUAGCCAAACCAACAUACAAUUGAACAUGACUGACUGCAUGGGAGGGAGGAUCAGGGGGAACAGAUCCCUAAUUGGGUUCAAAAUGAUCAACUUUUUAUAGUAGAGCUGAAUGGGCUCUUGCUCCCCCCACCCACAAAUUGCUUGUGAAUUUUUAGGGUUUCAGUAGCAACAAUAGAAUGGAGCCCAAGGGUAAUUCCCACCACCCUUCCUCAUUUAUUUGUGUUGAUUUCUAGAAUUUUGGUUAAAGCAAAUGUUUUUGUUGGAUGUAUGAGGACAAUUUGAUGUGCCCACAAAUGUGAAUAAGAAGAAGGAUUUUGUAGAAAAAUGUGAAAAAGAAAAACAGAACUUUCAUGGCAUGAUGGCCAUUAUGGAUAAGACUAGAGAGCACGAUGAUGAGGAGGAUAGUGCAAUCAGGGGUGGCCUUAUUUCAGUUAAAAGGUGGCCCAUGUCAAUUCAAAAAGUGUGUGAUUGAAGGUGUCAUAUGCCCUUCUCAUUCAUUGCUAUUUGGUCAUGAUCUUGCCAUAUCAACUUCUUUUUCCACAUGACAAAAUUCACUACUACCCACUAAUCACAUGUGAAAAAAAACAAUGGAAAAAAGCAUAAAGAAAAGACAGGAGAAAAAAAAAAGGAAAAGGAAUACAGGACUUUGUUGUAACUAGAUUGCUUGAUGUUAUUUCACCUCACUAUUUGUGGAUGAACAGUUAUUGUAAUAAAUGUGCAUAUAAAACAUAAAAAAACAUGACACUGUGACUUAUUUGGGAAAAAUAUAGGAAUCUAACUACAAGGGUGUUGAGAUAAAAACAUAGUUGUAUUUGCAUCUUGUUUAACAAAAAUUUCAUUUCCAUACAAAUGCAAGUUUUAUUGCAUCACAUAGAAUUACCAAAAAGCACUCAUUUAUUGUCAAAUUUUUAUAUAAAGUACUCUAAGAAAUAUGUACAUUAUAUAACAUACUAUUCAUCUUUUUGGUUGAUUUUUUAAUUUUUUUAAUUUUAUAAAAAUAUAUAAUACUUGUGUUACAUAGCCAUAGUAAAUUUUUUUUAGUUGGAUAAAAAAAAGUUUAACAUUUAAAUAAUUUCAUUUCAAUUAGCUUUUUAAACUAACUAACUAAUAAGCUCAUAACCAGUUUUUUAAAUUUUACCUUCAAAAUGUGCAAUAUUUUUCCUGAUUGUUGUUGUUAUCCUUGUUAUUGUUUGUGUUGAUUAAGUGCUUUUUUUGUAUUGUAUUCUAGGGAAAAUUUCAUCAUUUCUGAAGGACAUCAUGAACAAUGCAAAUAAAAUGAUUUUUAGUUUCUAAUGUAUAAAAUAUAUAAUUGAGGAAGCAGAUAGAAUUUCAGUACUUUUACAAUCUAUAUUCCAUGAACAGAUCAUUCGACUUAAUUCCAAAACAUUAAAAACGAUAAUUACAAAUUACACAUAAAUAGUAAAAUAUUUGAUCCAAAUUCAUCUGUAAAAUACUUUUUUUAGUCUGAAGUAUAUUGUUUAAUGAAAUAUUUGAAUAGUCCACUGUUCCUUUCUAAUUAAUAGUAAUAGGAAGAAUACCAAAUUAUUGGCUAACAGCUAAUUUUCUUGAUUUUUCAACAAAAUUAAAUUCUUUGUUUGAUUUUUGUUCCAAAACUUUAUACAAUAGCCACAAAACACAUCAUACCUUUGAUCUAUUCACCAAAGUUGCUAUCAAUGCUUGUCUGAGACAACCUUUAAGCACACAUGUUUUAUUUUAUUAUUGCAACAACUUCAAACCAAGACAUGUUCAAAGUGGAUAGAUGGACGCCCUUAUCUUCUAUUAAUAUUUGUGCCAUAAUAAAUAGGAUUUUUCAAGUUUCUUAUGAUUUAAAAAUUGUGAUGCUUUUGUUGUUAUUGUAUUCAUUAUUCUUGCUUAACUAUUUGAAUUCCUACAUCAUUUUGUACCACCAUAUUAGUUUUGUAAGGAAUACCAAGAAAAGAAUGAAAGAAAGAAAGCCAGACAGGAAGAUGAGAUUUAGCAGACAAUAAAGCUCGUCAAAAACUUUAUAAAAACAGCCAUCUAUUCCAAAUCUACAUAACACAUGCUCAAAGCUGCUCAUAUAUCAAAUAAAUUAUGAAUGGAAAAGCAUCGAUAACAUAAACAUAAAAUAUAAAUAUAAACCCUCAGUGAAAUCCUCAAUAUGUUUGAAGCAGAAACACUAAAAAAAUUAUAAAAUCAAUUACAAGUGAGCAAUAACAAUUUAAGAAAUGGAUGAUGUCAUACAAAAUUUGAAAUUUCUAAAUUUGUGGUAUAUUUAUAUAGCCAAGACAAUAUAUAUCUAUAUAUAUAUAUAUAUUUGUAUUGUACAGCUACAAAGUCAGAAAAAUAAUUAUAUUUGGGCAUUCUGAACUACUCUUUUUUUAUUUCAGAAAAGUCACACCAUGUUCAAAGUGAGAAAAAAAAAUACUUUCUUAAGAUUGGAAAAUAUAACAUACUUUCUUAAGAAAGUAAAUACUUAUAAUUUACAAUUUUAGCUUGUAAAGCUACCAGUUUCUAAUUUUCUUCUGAACUUUUCUCUUUUUUCUUGCAAUUGAAAUUUCUUACAAACUGUACAAUUCCUCUCUCUAGAAUUCGAUUCAAAAAUCCAUUUUUCAGCUUUGUUGUGUAUAACGUUUACAGUCAAUUAUUCAUUAUUUCAAUCAUUGCAUUAACUUCUUGCAUAAAAAAGAUUAACACAAUCCAACUGGUUUUGAAAUAAACAAUCAAUUCAUAAGAAUGCAUUGAGUACCAGGAUCAAUUUUGCAGUUACAUUAAUCAUUAAUGUUGAUAACAAUCAAUCAUUAAUUCAAACAAAUUCUCUUAUACAAUUUAACACUUAAAAUUUUACAAACUGGCAAACAAAUCAGUCAACACCAUGUUAAGGCAAUUGUUUAAAAAGGCUUAAUAUGAAUCUGUAUAAAAGCAUGCAAUCACAAAUAUAAUCACAAGGAGUUGAACUAAUUGCAAAAUUAUGGUUUGUAGUUUAACAUUUUUCAAAUAAAAUUUCAACACUUUUACAUGUCUUUAGUUACAUAAUGAAAACCUGAAAGCCAUAUUGUUAUGCAUAUAUAUAUAUAUAUAUAUAUAUAUUUAAAUUCCUAUAAUAGAAAAAGUUGGUUUGAAUGUAAUUUUCAAUAAAACAAUUGUGAUAUAUUAGUAAUUCACUCUUGUGGUUUUAGUUAUGUAUUGUUCUACUUGUUAUGUUAUUUUGAAAUGUGAUAAAUUGUUUUACAUUACAAACUUGUGUUAUUGUUAAUUUCAAUACUGUAAUUUUAUAAUAAAUUGAAAUAAAUUUCUUCAUUAUCUGCAUUUCAAAAUUAAUACUAUGUAAAAAAUAUCACAAUUGUAACUAUUAUAUUGUUAAUCAACAAUUUAUAUUUGUGUUUCAACAACCCCGAAAUUUGAUAAAUUAGUCAGAUCAUAUGCAUGCUAUAUACUAAAUUGUCUAUCAUAUCUAAUAUCUUUCUUCAUUUAAAAAAAUAUUGUCUGGAUUACUUUUCAAAAUAAUAUACUAUUGUUUCAUAGUAAACAUUGAGUGACUGAAUGGAGGGUUGAUUUUUAAAGGAAACAUAGUCAAUCCUAACUGUUUCAUAAGUUAGUAGAUUUAAUAAAUUGAAUAAAUCAUGUACAAUUUAGAUUAUAUUCCUCACAACCAAUUUAAAAUUUAAAAGUCUGCUCUCUCUCUCUCUCUCUUUUUGGCUGGCCUGUGGUAAGUCAAAUGUAAAUAAUCUUGUAGAAACUUCUAAACAGUCACAAGCAUGGCACAUUUAAGACUGAAGCAAUAACAUAUUUUCAGAAAGUGACUAUUUAUUGCAUUCACACACUCUUGUGACUAAAUUCAAUUUUAUGUGAGGAGGCACAGGGACAGUGAAAAUCACUGUAAUCAAAACAAUUCAUUUACAUACAUGAACACAUACAUACAUCCUUUACUGUAUGUGUUUCCAUGAAAAUAUUCUUCAGAGUGUCUUUUUUUUCUUGUAAAAGAAGGAAAACUAUGCCAUCUUCACAGGUAUCACAUACAUUGUCAGAAUUUACAUCAAUGUACGUUGUUGAAUUCUCAUGUCAGCAGUGCAUGAUGUAUUCAAUUUCUAUCUAUGUUGUUCACAGGUAACAGUAGAUUCAAAUAAUACAAUUAUAAGACCAUGUAGAAGAGACAGUUAUGGAGGAACUUCCAAGGACUCAUAAAUGUCCACAGUGAUUCACACAAACAGUAAGAAUACCAAGUAAGAUAAUACAGUCAAUAGUGUGCAAUGUUUGAGACAUCUUUCCUUUAUGACUGCUCCCAAAUCCUUUGAAGAAGUUGGGGGGAAUCCCUGCACAAUUAUCUAAACAUCAGUCAUUCAUUCAAAACGGUUGAUUCAUUCAUUUAUUAUCACACAUCGGCAAUUGUGCAUUACUCACUGGUCACAAAAUCACCAACCCUCAUCUCUUCACAAAACCCAAUACAUGGCUCUUGUCUCAGACUGACACGUUCAGAAUUACUCUUCAUUUGUGAGCAGGGAUUUCAAUCAUAUAUAUAUAGAGACACACACACACUGACGGGUAUACUAGUAAAGAAAGAAAGAUCCAUCUCUGAAAAGCCAUGAACUGAGAAGACCUCAGCCAAAAUAUUUGGAUGUCAGAUGGGGCAUGGAAGCACUUUUUGGACUGAGAUACUACCACCACAAAAAGCACUGAGCAUCCAUUCCUUUUCAGAGCCUUUUCAAUUUUAAUUUUUAAUUUUUUUUUGUUUGUUUACAUAUUUUCCUUUCAUUGGGUACAUAUGAUUGGUUUCAAGGAUCACUCAUACUUCUCUUCAUUGGAUUUGCCAGGCCAUGGGAGCCCUGCAUGAUGAGACAAAAUCCAUUGAAACCCCCCCUUGUCAUCUUUUUUUCUAUCUCUGAAGAACAGAAAGCUUGACCUCGUUUACAGCAAAAACAAAGGUCAGGUUGGUGCAGAGUCACAGUCUAGUCCGCAGAGCUCACAAGAGUGACACGCAGAUUAAUGGCAGACAAGCCUUGUGGUGGGCUAGCAAACCCCUUUGCCUAGCUUCUCAACACUGAAUGCUACCACACAUGAAGUCUGUGUAUAAUAUGGCCUGUGCAGUAGGGCAUGCAUGUCCAGUUAUGUGGUGGUCUUGGUGGCUGUGCUUCUAAUGGUGUGAGCUUCUAUCCUUCUUCAGCCAAGCCCUGGCUCUGCAUGCUGAAGAGCAGCCAAUUCAAUGGCAAAGACUUGAUUUUUUCAACAUGGAUUUGCUUGAUGAAAACCAGGGUUAGCAAGACUGUUUUCAGGGUUUGUCUUGUGUGAUUGUUGUGAUUGCUGUGUGCUUGUGUGUUCUGCUGUAUGCAUUCAUGAAUCAAAUGAAAAAUUGUGAGGAUUGAACUGGCUAGGGAACGAUUAAUUGCAGACAAACAGAAGCAAGUGGGCCUCCAGGAAAAAAGCUCCAAUGGGGGGAAAAAAACUCUAAUGGGACACUUUGGUUGUCAAUCUCUGAAGACUGUAGAUGUGCAUGAGACUCUGAUUCCAUGGUUUUGGUUGGAAUCCACUAUCCAACAAAAAAUGUUAUUGGUGUUGUGAUUUGUUGGAGGACAAAAGAAAGUGAUAGAAAAUGAAAGGAAGAAAAAGGAGAAAGAAUAAGAUGGAAGGAAAAGAGAGGUGGUCAUUAGAGUAUUCUCUUGUGAUUCUUGUUGUUAGUGAUGACUUGCUUUCUUCAUUUUUGUCAUUCAAAAAGGAAACAAUAAAACUCUAAGGUGGGUGUUUUUUUUAGACAUGCGUUUAUAUAUACAUAAAUACAUAUCUUUGGAUCUCGAUUUUCCUUUUAUUUUUGGUAUCUUUCUCAAGCUGACCCAAAGAACUCAAACAAUAUCCACUACAGUGGUUUUGAGAAUUUGGAUUAUCAAUGGAUUAUAUCAGCACCUAUGGGCUCACACUUUACUUGGUACACCAUAAAGCUUUUUAUUUGCCAAGCUAAGUCUCAUGGUUUUCACAAUAAUUGAACAGCAAUUGUGCAAUACAUGUCCCUAUCCCUCAUAAAGGUUGUUUUAGUUCUCAUUUUAAAUUAAGUGAGGUUUCAAAUUUACGUUCUUCUGAAGUGGUUCAGAUGUCAACAAGUGUCUGAUUAAUAAAACAUGUCUGUUUAAUAAUAGUUCUGACCUGAACAGGAUUGUUCCCUGCCAUUAUGUUAUUUUAUUUUAGCUGAUAUUGAUUGUUGCUUAAUUAUUUGAUUCAAUGGUACUGAGAUCACUAUUAUUACCAUGAAUCAAGGAAUCAAUUAGCUGCAGGUAUUGUUGAUACUAAAAUACACAGAAUGAUUUUGUUUAUAAUUCCAAUACCACAUGUCUGACCAAUUGCACUGGAUUGUAAUAAUUUGUGUAUUAUACGAUUUGCAUUAGUUCAACACCUCGUAUGAUAUAUUCUGAUCAAGAGGGCAUUCAACAGAAUUCAACAUCUCUUUCAAUUAUGGAAAAAUCCUCAUAUUGAGAUCAUAGAUAUUCAGACAUACAUGAAGAUAGAGAACAUUGCCACUGUGACAUUUCAUUUCAUUUUUAUUCAUUUUCUGCUUGUAAAUGAGAGAUGUUGAUUUUACAAUACUAACAAUGGAACCUGGUCUAAUUAACAAACCAGAAGCUAGUUGUGUGAAACUAAUAUACAGUAAAAUUUUACAAUGGAGUACAGUAUGAUGUAAGGAAGUUGAAAAGAGUAUUACGCUACUUACAGAAUGAUCAAAUUAUUCAAAUGUCCUAGACACCAAGGACAUGCUAUCAAAAUCUUACAAGGAGGACAUGGAUGCUUUUUGUUUUAUUAGAAUGUUCUACUUAAUUUGAAUUAUUUCCCCCAGUUUAUCCUUUUCUGCCAUAUCUACGCAUACAAUAUACGGAAAAGUUACAAACUUAAUUAUGUACUGUUGUAAAAGUACAUAAUCACACUUUGUACCCAGUUUACACUUAUUUGUAAUAGUAGAAGUAGUAGUAGUAGUACUACAACCCCCCCUUUACAUCAAGUAGGCUGCUGUCCAUCAUUCUAUCUUUGGCUUUGGCUGCCCCACACCACACUUUAGUCAUGCAGAGGGACUCUCAUGCAGCUCAUAAAUGGAACAUUCUUUUGUGCUCACAAUAUUUCUUACUACAGUAGUUUUCAAUUUUUGCAUCCAUUAGCAAAACAUUUGUGCUGUUGGGCACUAAAACAGGUCCUGCUUAUAAAGAAUUAGUAUUUGAAUUUGAUUUGAUUUGAUUUUUUUUUUUUUUCGAUGAAAUUAAUAUCAAUAACAGGGUGUGUUUAUCACUAUGGAGUUUGUGAUUCCUCAUUUAAUAACAUGCUCCUCUGGGUAGCUUUAUUUAUAUACUGUUGACUCAUAGAAGAACGUGGCAAUUGCAGCACCCCUAUCAAUAGAAGCCAGAUAGAAAAAAUAGAAAAAAUAGAAAAUAAAACAUAGAUUCCAUUUAAUACACACUCAAUGGAUUUAUUUUUAUAUUAGUUUUUUUUUUUUUUAAUACCAAUUGGGCAUGAAUGCUGGAUAGUAAUGCAGUUAAGAAUCGCAAGACCACGGAUAUGGAAGUUUGAAUCCUGAUUCAUGAAACUCAAUAUCUGUUUCAUUCGAAUCCCACAGCAUCACGUUAUUUUCCAACAUGAGAAUUAUCACUUGGUUUGCCACAUUCCGUCACGCUGCUCCGAAUCAUACAAUAUUCGGAUUUCAGGAACUGGGUUCUCUCGAAUCAACGCUGAAACCUGCGUAUACCCGGCGUUUAUUAAUGCGGUAACAUGCUACGCAAACUUUUUAUUGUGUGAGAUAUGGUUUCGCCCAGAUUGGCUGUCUUUGGAGUGAUAACUGUUUUGAAACGGAUGCCGGAGAGUCGCUGGUGUCCCUUGUGGGUCAUGGUGGUCGAAGGAGCUGCAGAAAUCUCAAAGCAGUUCGAGCUACCGCUGUGAGUCGGAGCUAGAGAAGGGCAAGUCUGUUGUGUGCGAUUGGCGACGCCCUAAACUCGUUCGAUGUCUACAUGUCAAGGUUGAAGCGCGUAUGGAUGGCCCAAGGUGAUCAGAAUGUUUCACGUCUGUAGCUUGAUAUGUCACAAGGCAUUUGAAAUGUUGUGCUUGGUUGUUCAGAUGUAAGUGGUGCUUUAUGUGUUAUCAAUGAAUGGGGUUUAUGUGUUGAACCAAAUCCAUCUCGGUUCUGUGGCAAGUUGCGAGUAUCAAGGGCGAGUGCUGCAAUGCCCUCCACCGGUUUUCCCCCGGAAUCUUGCGAGACCACAGCAACAUCUCUGAACGCCGGAUCACUAUUCUGUUGAUGAUGAAUUGUCAGGGAAGCGUUUCAUCAAAUUUCGGGAGUUCCUCUUGUCACUUCUCUUCGAAAUCUGCACGGUGUUAUUCAUUACUCCAGGCUUGGGAACACCCUAGGAAAUCCUACAUGCAGACUGAGCACUGAGAUUGUCUUCUGAGUGAGAUCUGGCACAUCGGAGGUAUGUCAGUUGGUGGGGACUCUUUGAUAUUUUAUGAACAGUGCUUAGAUUAUACUCGAGGGCCUCAAUCGAUCACUUUUUGAUUAUACUUGUCCUUGGAGGACUGUAGUACUGCAGUCUUUUUCUUAGUGAUGAUUGGGUUACAAUGAUCAUCUGUGACAUUGAAUUCUGAAAUUGUUUCAGAUUGAGGCGGAUCGGUUAAUGGUCCGACGUAAGAAUGGAUGAAGCGGAAAUCCGCAAACAUGGAACUUAGAGACUUAGUGCUUCGUUCUUGUUGUUAUCCACUGGGAAUUCAUGGCGUAUGUUAGACUAGAUCUGACGACCCAUCAUGCUAUGUAGUAAGAGAUUGUUUCGAUUUCUGUUGUCCUGGGUUACUUCUGAAUCAACAUACAAAACAGCAAGAGGAGGCCUGAUUUUCCAAGUGAACGUAACCAUUCGACCUCCGUUGCUUCUUGACCUAUUUCUUUAGUCAGCCUUUAGUAUGUCAUUUUGUUCAGCUUCCUCUCUCUAUUAUCUUACAUUACAAGUUGCAUCAAUAGUCGUAAGCCUCAAUUAGAUUUUCCGAGACAGGGGCUGGAGCUGGCUGAAAAUUAGUGCACCUAAAUUAGCUGGUUCGUAACCCUCGAAAAUGUUUAAGCCGUUGGAUGUGCAUGAUGCCUUCUAUGAAAUAAAAGCCGUCCUUGUCUCCAGUCAUUUCAGAGAUUGUCUUGCAAGGACCUUCAAGUGGACAUUAGAAUUUCUUUCGGUUUCCAUGGAGCCUACUGUUGGAUGCGCCUACACUGCAGCCAGUGGGUUUCUACAUCGACCACAGUAAUGCGUCACUUAUGGAACCUUCAAGAAUUGUGUCCUCUCUAGUCUCUGUGAUGUUGGAUUUUCCCGUUCUGUAGUGAAUUAAAAUCAUUUCAUGUCACGUGCCUGACAAUCGCCUCUUUCAUGAGUAACAAGCUGUUAAACAUCUUGUGUGUUUUUAGGUUAUCCGACGUUGAAGAAGUCCAAACAAUACAACUAUUUUUGUGACUAGUGUACAAUCAUCUUAGACAAGAUUUGUCUCGUUUUUUAAUCGAUGCUUCCUUCGUUGGCAUCAGCUUGACGAGUCGGAGAAAUUGUGUGUGUGCAGGGAGAGUUAAAGGAUUUCGUUACAUUUAGUGGAGUAUCAUUUGCUGAGGUGACACAUCAUCUCCUCGGCUCUGCCCUUGUUUCAAUCAUUUGCUUUCUUCUGUGAAGUCCGUUAACAAGUUGUGAACUUCUUAUAACUACUUAUUGUAUUUUAAUUCCCAACUUUAAACAUGCAAAUGCACGGGUCCUUUUAUUAGCCUCAACUGUUUGAACGCGAGGUAUCAAAUUUUCAUUGCUUGGUCUGAUGAAAAGAUAUUGAAAGUGAGAUUGUCUACGAAUAGGUGCUUGACAUCAAUCGAGAAAAGGUGGUUUUGACUUUCAGGUGAGCGGGUCUCUGCUCUUGAAACUAAUGAAUUGAAAACCUUGAUUGGAUAACUAUCCUAAGUUAUUUGCGAAUACAUUUCAAAGAUUGGAAAGUCAAGACAUUAUGUAGGCUUUUAGUAAUCUUUACUUGACUUGAUCUUUUUUCUGGAUCUUCGCGCACGAUUAGUCAUGCUUCCCUGAGUGAAAUGUGAAUAAACAAGAUUAUCAGAUUCAGUGAGUUUUGAUGGUGGCUUCUUGUUCAGGUUGAUGCUUGAACCAGAGGCUCACAGGUUGUAUCCUCAGGAAUUGGUCAUAUAUAAAGUAUCCGGUGUGGAGUCACGACAUUGAGAUAUUAAGUCAAAUAGAAUUUGGCAAAUACUCGUACUCGCUCCUCAGAUUAUCAAUUAACAUAGAAUGCUUAAAUUCGCCCCUGAACUCAAAUGAGGGAAAUCUUGAAAGAACUCUUCACCUAGCAAACUAGCAUUCAACACAGCGGUAUUUGACUCAAGAAUUCAUGGUGAGCAUUAAUUAUCAGUCAUUUAAUGAUCCAGGAUUGCCCAAUUAGGUUUAUGAUUAUGAACGUGAGUUAGCGACUGAUUAUCAACAGACGCCGAGCUCCGAUCAUAAUAAUAAAUUCAUAAAUAUUCAGUCAAAAAUAAUCUGCAUCUAUCUUUCAAGCCGUGCAAGUUGCAAGUAGAAAUGUUUUGAUAGGACAUUCUUGAAUUUAUCCAAAACCACCAGUAGUCCACCUUCAACUCUAGGUGCAAUAUGACAGGAUAAACUCCUUACUUCACGUUGUACACACGCAUACAGUAAAUAUGAGCCAGUUGUCUCAGCUUUAUUUGUUGUGCCAACAGAGCGUGAAAGUCCUUUUGAAACAGAUUGCUAAAUGUGAUGUAAAAAGUGAUUAGCUGUUAGCAUCCCCAUCAAGCUAUAGACAAAGUAGCUAUUGAUAUGAAGACAUAAAAAUGAGUUUAGAAAUCAUUGUGUCACAUGUCCUAGACUGGUGACAUGUACAGUAGGGUUGUACGCCCGAGAGAAGUUUGAUCAACACCACAAAACAUAAGUUACAUAAUACGGUGGUGUGAACAAUUGGUUAUGCUGAUUCUUAAACUGCUACGUGUAUAUCUAGACUUUUCCGCAAUCUAAACUUUCAAACUUAUAAACUUUCAAACAGAACUAACUCAGCAAUCUUCUUACUGUUGGUUAAAGCAUCGGAUUUUACUGCAACCUUGUGAAUCGAGGGGGACGAAAGCUUUAACUAUUAAAACUUUUCCACAACUUCCACAUUGAAUAUGUAAAAUGACAAACCUUUAUGAUCAAGACGACACCAUUACCCAGAGGAUUUAUAGACUUAAGUUGAAGCCUCCAUUGUACAAGUUCUAGUUUAUUAGAUUUGUAUGUGAUCAAGAGCACGCCAAUCGAAAAAAUACUCUACGCAUUCAUGAAUUUUACAAGGGGUGGCUGGUAUCUGGCUAGUGGCAGGCGUCGGAGGACAACGGCUGGGCAAGGGAGGAAAGUUUUGAUCGGGACUGUCGAUUUCUCCAACAUUCAUCGCAUCGUCGAGCAAACAAUUGACAGAAAGAGUGAGCAAUUUCUAGUGUGGCGGCUGGUGAUGAAAAAAUUCGAGUAGUCAGAGGCAGAUCGCAAUCUGCGGCUGCAAGCCUUCAUGUUCAGUUUCGAUGCACACAAUACAUUUAUUCAUUUACAUGUGCGAACGUGGAAGUUUCUCUCGUGGAAUCUUGCAGGGCAGCGAUUAUGCCAAAACAGACUUGUCGACAGGGUGGGGCUUCUACUGGGAUUGCAACCGCAAAAGAUGUUCCGUAGGACAGAUGGCUCGAACAGCAGAAUUUCUUAAAUAUAUUACUCGUUGAUCUUGUCCCUAAUCUCAUUUUGCUCCAGAAAUAGCCAUGUCUCGGAGAUGUCGACCGAGUGUGGGGCGACCAUAUGCAGGAUUUUUGACGCUGGUUGACUCCUGCAGGCUUCUGACUACUGACUACUCGAAUCCCUCCCCAUCCCCGAAUAGCUCAAUCGCAGACAACCACCGAUGCCACCGACCAGACAAUUUUUUUUCUCCCUCGAGCAAGAAUUUGUCAAAUAGAUCAGUCGUGGAGUUUUGGAAAUGAAGGUUUGAAUGACCUCUGUGAAUGAAAGAGCAAUUUGAAGUAGUUGCGGAGCAAGAGGGGAAGCUGUAGCUGAUGCCGUAGUCGCAAGAGGUGGGUUGAAUCGUUCAAGUGCUCGAAGUCCCAUUUCACGGAAGGGUUGUGUGGCAAAUGUCAUGCCCCUGCUCACUGCAUGCGUCGCCAAAGUCUACUCCCCCUGCAUGUCCUCUCUAUAAGACCACAGCAUCAUCGCCUUACUGAAGCCAGUGUAUUGAGUCCUCUUGUCCAGUUUUUGUGCACGGCAGCAGGAGUAUCUCGCGACGAUGCUCGUGCCCGGGACUGGAUGAAGUUAGCGUCCACACUGGUAAGAAGAAGCACUUGCAGAAGCAGCUUUCUGGCUGUGAGCUUGCUUCUUGGACCGUGUCUGUUUGGCGUGUGACGUUGAGAUGGUCUGUGUCGGUAAUGAAUCAUGUGUACGUCGCUCUCGUGAGCGAUACGACGUGUUGUACAUUUUUGAAAGUGAUGCGUUAUGAGGUAUUAAGAAAAGGUUAUGAAUGGGAAAGAAUUUUGUGAGGGCUGUGAGUAUGGUGUGCUGGCGGUAGAGGUUGAGUGUGCCUGUAGUGUUGACUUGGGUGAAGCGAGAGAGAGAGAUAGCGAGAGCGAGAGCGUGAUGGAGAAGUUCUUCUGUUUGGAAAUUGUGGAGGGAUCGUUUGCUUCCUGGUCCUGUGUCUUCGAAAGAUUGGUGGAUUGUUAUCAUGGAAUAAUGACAAGACGAUAUUCAGGUCUAUCUAGUGAUGCAUUUACGUCACUUAACGUUCAGUGUUCACUGUGUAGUCACAGCUGAAUGAAGCGUUUGCUCAUGUUCAUACUACUUUGCCGGUCCGAAGGAUUCUCUCUUAGGAGGCGGUUUCUUCAGUUUCACCUCAACUGCGUCGAGGGCCAUCUUCCACGGGGGUUCAGUGGUAGUUAGCUUCAAACCUGCGCAAUAUUUUUCUGUGAGAAACAAUUAGAGGUGUGGUUAUGCAGCAGGGUUUUGGGAAUUCCUCAAACAGCGCAUGGAAUUAUGGUCAUCUCAGUCACGAUUUGGAAGCUAGCUUUGGACGGUUGCAGGAUAGUCGCCCCUUGAUGAAUACCCAUUGAAUGAUUGUGUUGAGAACCGAUUUCAUCAUGUGGUGCGUUUGUCAAUCGAAAACUAUCGACGACGAUGACGGUCUAAUAUACAGAAAUAAGGUUUACGUCAAAGAUUUUUCUACGCAAUCUUUUGGCUCGACGGAACCUGGCUCUUUGCAUGGCAGCGUCCGACGAUACUCUCUCUCCAGCCAGGAUCCGCCGCCGAAACUUCUUGGCGCGGAGACGUUCACUAUGGCUGAACUAUAUCGCGUCACGGAAAAUUUUUCCCCGCAAAACAAAAUAGGGCAAGGAGGGUUUGGGAUGGUUUACAAAGGAAGACUCCGAGAUGGUAGAAUGGUGGCAAUCAAACGAGGGAAGAAGGAUGCCUAUGAGGCAAGAUUGUCUGUGGAAUUCCGCACUGAAGUCGAGAUGUUGUCCCAGGUUUGUAUCCCUAGCACUUGCUCUAACCCCCCCCCCCCCCCCCCNNNNNNNNNNNNNNNNNNNNNNNNNNNNNNNNNNNNNNNNNNNNNNNNNNNNNNNNNNNNNNNNNNNNNNNNNNNNNNNNNNNNNNNNNNNNNNNNNNNNCCCCCCCCCCCCCCCCCCCAGUCGAGCUCUAUCUGCAGAUUGUGCUGCAUCCAUAACCAUAGUAAUAGCUACCGGGUAGAGAACAGCGUUCCUAACUAUCUGAGGGACUUGAUGGUUUGCAGGUGGAUCAUUUGAAUCUAGUCAAGCUGAUCGGUUACACGGAAGAGGAUGAUGAGCGUAUCCUUGUUGUGGAUUAUGUCGCUAAUGGCAACCUCGGUGAACAUCUCGACGGCACGUACAGCAAAGUUUUAGACAUGCGCACACGGCUCGACAUUGCCAUUGACGUUGCGCAUGCCCUGACUUACCUCCAUCUAUAUGCCGACAGGCCCAUCAUUCACAGAGACAUCAAAUCGUCGAACAUUCUCCUCACUAGCACUUGCCGUGCUAAGGUUGCAGAUUUUGGAUUCUCGCGAGUUGGUCCGUCCGUAGACGCCGGGGCAACCCACGUCUCCACCCAAGUGAAAGGAACUGUAGGUAAGAUCAUCGAGCGCUCAAACCCUUUAAGCGUUACGUGUUAUUUGUUAAUGGUUUAAUGCGCUAGGUUGGAAGUUCUACCCAUUUGGCUAUGGCAAUCAAUUUGCAGGUUACUUGGACCCUGAGUAUUUGAACACAUUCCAGUUGAAUGCGAAGAGCGAUGUCUACUCGUUCGGCAUUCUGCUUUUAGAGAUAUUCACUGGAAGGCGGCCGAUUGAACUGAAGAGGCCAAGUGAUGAGCGCGUAACCGCUCUUUGGGCAUUCCGAAAGUUUGUGCUGGGGAAACUGAGCGAUAUUAUUGACCCCAAGCUCGAGAAAACACCAGCGGUGUUAAGCGUCAUCGAACGAUUGGCUGAGCUUGCAUUCGCAUGCUCUGCGUCCUCGAAGGUGGACAGGCCAAGUAUGAAGAAGGCAGCAGAAGUGCUGUGGGAGGUUCGGAAAGACUACCUCGUGGAGCAUCAAAAGGAGGAGAAGCUCAAGUCCGACAGGGACGAGAGCAUUCGCAUCGAAAGCGCGAGGAGUUACAUGUCGGUCGAUUCCCAAACUGUGCUUCACCCAAACUCAAACCACCGACGGCCACGGUAGAACGCAUGGAAUCAGUUAAUUUCUCUUCCCUCUUUUUGUACAGAUUUGGUUUGGUUCGAAUUGAUGGCACAACCGUAGCCCUUACUAAGAUUUCUUCAGCAUACAAACUUCUCCGAAUCUCUCAACAUCCUAUGAUGUUCGUUGCCAGCGUAUUUCACCUUAAUCUUAGUAGGGAAACUAUGAUUAGGGUUAAGAUUAGCAGCAGUGUCAAUGCUGAGAUGGCGCUUCGCUUGGCUUACAUCGACAUGCCAUCGUCACAUGGGUGUGGAAGAACCUAGCAUGUACCUCACCGUAAACGUGAGGUUGAUCAUGCCGCGAACUUCUCGAGAGCUACAAACUGAGAACAGUGGCACUGGAGGAACCCACUUCAUGUGAAUGGCUGGGUUGACUGUCUGAAGGACGUAGAAAUGUGCUUCAGUUGCUGUGUCCGGUGGCAGCCAGCUUCCAUGUAAUCGGGCGGCUUGAGGAAUUGUGCAGCGACCACAAGUAGGUGAUCUUACGACCACUGUUAUAUUUUCCUCUCAACGAUCUUGAACAGAUAUUUCUUUCUCCAGAGUUCAAGAACGUGCUUUCUUUCUGACAAUCAGCUCACAUUCAUGGCGUGAUCAGUGGCGCAAUUCCGAUUUCUUGUGCCCUUUGAGUGGUUGAUUUUUUUAGUUGCCUUGGCCUCUCCAUUUUCCGAAGAUUGGUUGUGCAGCACCAAGCUUCACCAACAAGAUUCUGGAAUGAGGAUUGUUGGUUAUCAGUACAGGGGAUAAAAUCAUCGUUCAAUCUGGUAGGACCCAACGGAGACAGAUGUCGCACUGCCAGUUUGCAGGAAAAGUGUCCCAAAUCUGAGUUUAAGUUCAAAUUUCGAAGGUGUUUCAAAUCUCCUUCUGGCUCUGACAGUCCAAUGCAAUUACUGUCAGAGCCAGAAUUCCUCCAUGCCUACUCCAUACAGUAAUCAACAAGCGCUCAUAGUAAUAAAUUGCAAAAGUCUAGAGAAAAAUUGGAGCUAAUAAAAUCGUCCCCUGAGCGGUGAGAAUUUGAAAAAUAUUCCUGAGUCUUCGAAAAAUGCACAGUGCAACCUUGAGUUUCAAUUAUGACAUACUGAAACCUGUUAAUGAAUGGGGGACCAUCGUCAUCGUUCCAAGCGGUGACAAAAAUAAGGUUGUGCAAUGCUAGUAGUGAGAACCAAUGGAAGCGAGAGUA